CAUAAAUUAAACUAUCCUAAUUGCAAGAAAAAUAAAUUGCAUAAUGUAAAGAGAUAAAAUUGCAUAAAAAUAAGAUUUUAUAUAAAAAAAAUUUAUUACAAAAAUCUCAAAGCUCGAGGCUUGAGAAGAAAGCUAAAAAAUCCCACUAUCUAGGGUUACAAGCUUGAUCGGAAGGAAAGAAUUAUUAAAAUAAGGGCCUUUGGGGGCUUUUUAUAGGCAUUUGGGGGUUAUAAGGUUUUCAAAACUUUAGAUGUGGGACUAAGAGAUUUUAGAGGGCUGUUAGGAGGAUUUAGGGACUCAAAUCUCACUCAAAAAGUACUUAAAUCCAUCAAGAAACCCUAGAAAUUAUUUCAGCCGUCCGAUCUUCAUCUAAAGGACCCAAUUCAUCUAAUAAAUCAAGCCGGAAGCG
rnacentral:lncRNA from 1 species